AUCACAGGUCCUUUCAGGGGCUCCCUUUCUUUGCUUAUCCCUUAAAAUGUAUCACUAUUUAGUGUUUCAUUCAUGGCUUCAUCUCACUUUCCAUGGCUUCAUCCCCCCCCCUUCAUCAUAUGUAAAUGAAAUCCAUGUCCACGUUUCUAGUCCAGACUUCUCCUGAAUUUUGAGUAAUAUACCCAAUUGGCUGCCAAUGCUCAUUCCACAUAGAUGCUACACAGAUACUUCAACCUCAACAAAUAAAAAGAUGAAUUUGCCAAACUCUCUCCCAAUUUGUUCUUCCUUAUCUUGGUCAAUGUUACCACCAUCUAUUCCCACCACAACCUUGACUCAGAUAACACCUUAGAUUUCUCCCUCUUUCUCCAACUCAAUAGUAUAUGGAUUCUAUGUUCUACAUGUAAAUAAAUAAAUGUUCUAUCUCUUCCCCACCACAUUUGAUAUUUUAUUUUUGGCCUAUCUCUGGUAAAGCCCUAUUCAUUUACCCUCCAUAGAGAUGUUAGAAUGACCCUUCAAAAUACAACCUUAUUUUUCCACUCCACUUUAAUGAUGGAUAAGGCAUAUAUAUAUUUACUAAGCAUACAAGAACUUUCAUCUUCUAGCCCUUCCUACUUUUUCAGUCUCAUUCCCAUCACCUAUGAUAACCACUUAUUACACAGUUCUCUAGAUGCUGGAUGCCUUUAGGUCUUUACCAAUCCUAUUUAUGCUUCCUGGAACCCCGACUUCAGAGACAAGCAGUCUCACAAAGAUCCAAAAACCCAACAGUUUUUUAAUAAUUUUUCAAGCAGUCAAUAAAUAGAUUUGUAAUUAUGUAUGCAGUUAUCUUGCCUAAUAAUUUUAAGUCCUAAAAGCUGCAAUAUAAAGCUUACUCAAACCUUUCUUCCACUACAAACUAAUAGAUUAAAAAUCAUUUUAUACAGCUUAUUAGAAAAUUCUGACUUUUUGUUAAAAUCUUCCUAGUAACCUAUAUUCAACUUUUAGUAUUCCUGCCAUCUUUAGAGGACAAAGUCCCUGCUCAGGCUGUGCUCUGCUGGUCAAAGGGAGACAUCAGCUUAUUUCUGAGUUGAAUUAUGUCUUCCGGCCACAUGGGGUUUUUGUUCUCUUCUUGGCCUUCUCCUUAGGUAAUUCUCUAGCUUAUCUCACUCUAUUCCCAAGUAAUCAAUAUUUAUGAGACACUGGAGGCAGAGAACUACAGUCAUAAAAUAUCAUAACACUAUGUCGACUUCACUAAUUUCUCAGAGAAGAAAAUGACUCCCUUCCUGCUUUUCAUCCCAUUAGCUGGACUGAACGCCAAUCCUUUUAAAGCACAGUGCUUGUUUAGUUAAUAAAUGGACCCAAUUAACUGAUUUCUAACAACAUUUAGCAGUUGGUUUAUUUUAGAAACUGUUUCAGAUACAAAGAUUAAAGCAUUUACAACACUUUCAAAAUUUUCUAAUUUUGCUAAGGGUAACAUGCUCAGUCAAAAAAGAUGAAACAUACACUUGAAGAAUGACUAGUAAUAAUUUUUGUUCAUUAAGUAAAUCAAUCACUCAUUAAUGCAUGCUGCAAAUAUUUGUAAAAUUUUCAUCAUAUAUCAGUCAUCAUGUAAGGAUCUGAGGAGCUUGCUCCCAAAAAGUUUUGUUCUAAUACAGUCAGUAAGCAAAAAUUAGCAUAGCAUAUGAGAUGUUUUACUUUUGAUCAGCUCAUUCUAAUUCCUACAUUUUGUUGGAGAAAUAAAACCAAUAAUGAACAACUCUACAUAUUUAAAUGGCAGGUAAGUGAGUUGUGAAAUCAUAUGCUAAGUAAUGAAUACAUAAAUACAUACACAUACAUACGUGCAGAGGCUAUAGUUAUCUCACAUAAAGGAUUUUAUUAAUAUCAAAAAACAACAAAUUCAUUUAAGAAAAAUUUUAAAGCAUUAGCACAAUAUGUUACAUAUGUAAAUGGCAUUGACAUUUACAUGGUCAAGUUAUUGCAAUAACAUUACAUUUGCAUGUAUCUUCCAUUUUUCAUAAAUUUUAAUAGUUGUAGAGGUGAUCAUCUGACAGUUUAAAUUAAUUAGUAAAUAACAAAGUGUCAUUAUUUUCUAUCCUUUUUUUGAAAAUUGAUUAGCCAGAGUGUAACUUCAUUUUAGUAAAUUUGAUUCUGCAUUUUAUUAAGACUACAUGUAGGGGUGCCUGGGUGGCUCAGUAGGUAAAGUGUCUGUCUUCAGCUCAGGACAUAAUCCUGGGGUCCUGGGAUCCCAAUUCUCCUUCUUCCAUGCCCCUCCCCCUCUUCAUUCUCUUUAUUUAUAAAUAAAUAAAUAAAUAAAUAAAUAAAUAAAUAAAUAAAUAAAUAAAAAAUAAGAUUACAUAUAAUACUAGAAUAUCAGAAACCAUGUUAACUUGCUAUGCAUAACUUAUCCCAUUUCAUGAGGACACAUAACAAAUUAUGUGCAUAUGCAUAUAAAUACACAACCAAGGAAAACUGUGACAAUUAGUAUGCAUAUAUUAAUCAAACCAUAUCAGAUUAACUCCUAAAAUAUUAUAUUAAGCAAGUGGUUCUCAAGUUUUUCUGUUCUGUUCUUAAAAACAAUCUUGACUAUAUAAGUUGUAUUUUUUAUGGGUGGAUAUAUAUUUAUAUAUGUAUGUAUCAUCUAUAUCUAUACUUACAUGGAACUAUCUAUAUCUAUGAAGAUAGAUACAUAUUUUUUUAGGGCGCAUAUGGGACCCAGAGGGAGAGGAAGAGAGAGACAAACCCUAGCGGACUCCAUGACCAGCGUGGCUCCUGAUGCCAGGCUUAAUCUCACAACCAUGAGAUCAUGACCUGAGCUGAAAUCAAGACUCAAACAUUUAACCAGCCAUUCAGGUGCCCCUAGAUACACAUAUUUUUAAGAAAAUUAGAUAUAUUUUUUAAGAAAAUGAAAUAGAAUUGUUUUAAAAUGAUGUAGUAUUCCGCAGAAUAUGUGGUACUUUUCCAAUCUAUGUAUUGCAGAAUAGUUCAUAGAACAAAGUAUUAAUUCAGGUUUAUUUUGUUUGUUUUCAUGUAGAAGAAGGACAAUUCUUUUAUAAAGUACAGAGGACUCUAAGUCAUGCUAGCUGGAGACGAACUAAACUUCAAAAUAAGACUCUGAUCAAGGAGGAGAAGGGGCAGGUGAUGAAGAAGAAGAAAACUUACACCCAGGACUAAACUUCAUCAGAGACCUGGCCCAGGUUAAGAAUACAUUUUACUUCUAGUUUGUUCUAGGUUUGAGUCUAACAGUGGCACUCUUCCUGUUGCUACUAGAAGAAUUUUUAUAAGCAAAAGGCAAAUUACCAGAGAAACCAACAUUCUUAAUUUCGGAGGUAGGAAAUCUGCCACCUCGUUAAAGGGAGUGCUGCGUUACUAGCCCCCUGGCGUCCUGACAGCCAUAGAGCACACAGCAGGCUUGUCCUCCUGACCAGAAAAAAAGAUGCUGAGAAGCUGACUUAAGAAUACUUCUUUGGGGACUCAAUAGCUAAUGCACACAGUAAAAGACAAUAGGAAUUAUUGCCCAAUGCAAAAAAGAAAUAUAUACUUUAUUAUAUAAUAGUCCUACUUACAAACAGACAAUUUCAAGUGGGAAAAUUGAAGAAAAGGAGUGACAUAGUUUUCUGGAAGACACCAUGUUGUAUCAGUAUCUGAAAGGAAUGGUACUCAAGGUUCAAAUUUCUUAAGUGGCAAUUAUUUCACUAAAGUUUCAGGUGUAUGAUUUUUUCUUCCUGGAAUUCAAGGUCCAUAUUUGAAGGUCAAGGCAGAGAACGCGGAGUAUAUUCUAAACAUCUUUUCUGCAAGUCAGCAUUUAUAGAAUUUCAAUGAUCAUUUUUCACAGUGGAGAAUUCAUCUCUACUCUUAACCCAAUGGCCAAUAUCCAAAAUGAACAGAGAAAAUAAUGCCUUCUUUGAAGCUUUGCUUCAUUAUUCUAGGGAGGCCAGGUGCUCCUUCUGAAACAGUACUGAUUUUCACUUUGCAGUAAUUAUAAAUACAACUUUCCUUUUUUUUCAGAUUUAUUUAUUUGAGAGAGAGAGACUGAGAGUCUGUUGGCGGGGGGGGGGGGCAAUGAGAGAGGGAGAAGGAGAGAAGGGGACUCCUCACUGAACAGGGCACAGCCCUGGCUAGAUCUCAGGACCCUAGGAUCAUGACCUGAGUGGAAACCAGGAGGCAGAUGCUCAACUGACUGAGCCACAGGUGCCACAACCGUUUUUUGGUUUUUGUUUUUUAAUAUUUAUUUUACUUUGGAAUGGCUUAAAUUCUCAAACUUAAAGACAACAUUUAAAUUUUUCAUAGGCAAUCUUAAUGUAAGGAAAGAUAACAGGCCUUUCAUGGAUUUCUGUUGUGUGUUUACUGACUCUUGGGCUACCAAGGAUUUGGAUUUCUCAUUAUAUGAAAAAUUCUUCAUACUACAUACUUGAAAAAUAAGCUUUAUAUUUAGCAGACUUGCUUCCUCAGUAUAUCUGUCUUUUGUGAUAUAAAUACUAGUCUUUGACAUAUUGUGUUUUGAUAGAAUUUGCAAUCCAACACUGUUUAAUUAUUCAUGAUGAGUGAUCCAUCAAACAAAAGAUUCCCAAGAGGACAGAUAAAAACAACUUGUUAUCUUAUUUGGGCCAACAACUCAGAGUUGAACAGAAAUGCCUUAACACUGAAUAAACAAUGGAUUUUUUUUUUUAAGUUGAUGAUUGAAAAUGCUAAGAACAAUACUGCAGGCACAAUAAUUAAAUUCAUCAUAACUUGUCUUCUUGUGACAUUCUUUAUGUGUUCAACAUUCCAGGUAAGGACUCUUCUUUCCUUAGUAAUAAUAAAAGAGCAAAAUAUUAGUUCUUAGAUAAAAAUGUUGAGUAGAGGUUAAUUUUAAUAUGUCCAAGGUGGUUGGCAAUAUUAAUAAAUUCCUUCUACCCAAGGCAUGGGUAGGCUAGAUAUAUCUACAAUGCUGGAUACUGGAAGUUCCUCAAGGUUAACUCAAAUACAAUUUGCUAAAUGAAGCUAUUCUCCAUUUUAAGUAUUUAAUAUAAUUCCUAGCUACAAAUUUUACUCUUAAACAUCCUUUCUGGGCAAAGGACAUCAUUUCCUGUAUAGCUCACAUAUAAACGUUCUAUAUAGGGCAAGAUUUAGUAGAUAAAAGAAUGAAAUUAUUCAAAAAGACAUUAUAAAUAAGGAAAAAUAAUAGAAAGGAUAGAGAUUUUUCUUUUUAAGAAAAAGAAAGAAAAACAUAUUUUGAAGUUUGUAGUCACAUUUUUUAAGAGAUCUUACCACUGAGCACAGUAAGAAGCUAAGCUUUUUCAAAUUUAUCUUCUACACCAGUGUAACCAGCAUCCUGUCUCUGUGCUUAGGGAGUAAGAAUGCUAUGUUCUUUCUUUUGGAUGUAAUUAUCUUUUCUUAAAAGAAGGAUUGCAUGUUCCCCA
rnacentral:lncRNA from 1 species